rnacentral:rRNA from 1 species
UCAAAUCACGCUGAAAAAACCGGUUCUCGUUCGAUCACCGAAGUUAAGCAUCGUAGAGCCAGGUCAGUACUUAGAUGGGGGACCGCUUGGGAACACCUGGUACUGUAAG